ACGAACGCUGGCGGCGUGCUUAACACAUGCAAUUCGAACGGUGAUGCUCCAGCUUGCUGGAGUGGAUCAGUGGCGAACGGGUGAGUAACACGUGAGCAACCUGCCCCAGACUCUGGAAUAAGCGCUGGAAACGGCGUCUAAUACUGGAUACGAAACUGGCCCGCAUGGGCAUGGUUUGGAAAGUUUUUCGGUUUGGGAUGGGCUCGCGGCCUAUCAGCUUGUUGGUGAGGUAAUGGCUCACCAAGGCGACGACGGGUAGCCGGCCUGAGAGGGCGACCGGCCACACUGGGACUGAGACACGGCCCAGACUCCUACGGGAGGCAGCAGUGGGGAAUAUUGCACAAUGGGCGAAAGCCUGAUGCAGCGACGCCGCUUGAGGGAUGACGGCCUUCGGGUUGUAAACCUCUUUCAGCAGGGAAGAAGCGAAAGUGACGGUACCUGCAGAAGAAGCACCGGCUAACUACGUG
rnacentral:rRNA from 1 species